GGGAAUGACAAUAACUCACUGGUAGAGCAUCUGUUUCACAUGCAGACAGUCACAGGUUCGAUCCCCGAUAUCUCCA